UUAAGCGACUAAGCGUACACGGUGGAUGCCCUGGCAGUCAGAGGCGAUGAAGGACGUGCUAAUCUGCGAUAAGCGUCGGUAAGGUGAUAUGAACCGUUAUAACCGGCGAUUUCCGAAUGGGGAAACCCAGUGUGAUUCGUCACACUAUCAUUAACUGAAUCCAUAGGUUAAUGAGGCGAACCGGGGGAACUGAAACAUCUAAGUACCCCGAGGAAAAGAAAUCAACCGAGAUUCCCCCAGUAGCGGCGAGCGAACGGGGAGCAGCCCAGAGCCUGAAUCAGUGUGUGUGUUAGUGGAAGCGUCUGGAAAGGCGCGCGAUACAGGGUGACAGCCCCGUACACAAAAAUGCACAUACUGUGAGCUCGAUGAGUAGGGCGGGACACGUGGUAUCCUGUCUGAAUAUGGGGGGACCAUCCUCCAAGGCUAAAUACUCCUGACUGACCGAUAGUGAACCAGUACCGUGAGGGAAAGGCGAAAAGAACCCCGGCGAGGGGAGUGAAAAAGAACCUGAAACCGUGUACGUACAAGCAGUGGGAGCCUCUUUAUGGGGUGACUGCGUACCUUUUGUAUAAUGGGUCAGCGACUUAUAUUCUGUAGCAAGGUUAACCGAAUAGGGGAGCCGAAGGGAAACCGAGUCUUAACUGGGCGUUAAGUUGCAGGGUAUAGACCCGAAACCCGGUGAUCUAGCCAUGGGCAGGUUGAAGGUUGGGUAACACUAACUGGAGGACCGAACCGACUAAUGUUGAAAAAUUAGCGGAUGACUUGUGGCUGGGGGUGAAAGGCCAAUCAAACCGGGAGAUAGCUGGUUCUCCCCGAAAGCUAUUUAGGUAGCGCCUCGUGAAUUCAUCUCCGGGGGUAGAGCACUGUUUCGGCAAGGGGGUCAUCCCGACUUACCAACCCGAUGCAAACUGCGAAUACCGGAGAAUGUUAUCACGGGAGACACACGGCGGGUGCUAACGUCCGUCGUGAAGAGGGAAACAACCCAGACCGCCAGCUAAGGUCCCAAAGUCAUGGUUAAGUGGGAAACGAUGUGGGAAGGCCCAGACAGCCAGGAUGUUGGCUUAGAAGCAGCCAUCAUUUAAAGAAAGCGUAAUAGCUCACUGGUCGAGUCGGCCUGCGCGGAAGAUGUAACGGGGCUAAACCAUGCACCGAAGCUGCGGCAGCGACACUAAGUGUUGUUGGGUAGGGGAGCGUUCUGUAAGCCUGUGAAGGUGUACUGUGAGGUAUGCUGGAGGUAUCAGAAGUGCGAAUGCUGACAUAAGUAACGAUAAAGCGGGUGAAAAGCCCGCUCGCCGGAAGACCAAGGGUUCCUGUCCAACGUUAAUCGGGGCAGGGUGAGUCGACCCCUAAGGCGAGGCCGAAAGGCGUAGUCGAUGGGAAACAGGUUAAUAUUCCUGUACUUGGUGUUACUGCGAAGGGGGGACGGAGAAGGCUAUGUUGGCCGGGCGACGGUUGUCCCGGUUUAAGCGUGUAGGCUGGUUUUCCAGGCAAAUCCGGAAAAUCAAGGCUGAGGCGUGAUGACGAGGCACUACGGUGCUGAAGCAACAAAUGCCCUGCUUCCAGGAAAAGCCUCUAAGCAUCAGGUAACAUCAAAUCGUACCCCAAACCGACACAGGUGGUCAGGUAGAGAAUACCAAGGCGCUUGAGAGAACUCGGGUGAAGGAACUAGGCAAAAUGGUGCCGUAACUUCGGGAGAAGGCACGCUGAUAUGUAGGUGAAGCGACUUGCUCGUGGAGCUGAAAUCAGUCGAAGAUACCAGCUGGCUGCAACUGUUUAUUAAAAACACAGCACUGUGCAAACACGAAAGUGGACGUAUACGGUGUGACGCCUGCCCGGUGCCGGAAGGUUAAUUGAUGGGGUUAGCGCAAGCGAAGCUCUUGAUCGAAGCCCCGGUAAACGGCGGCCGUAACUAUAACGGUCCUAAGGUAGCGAAAUUCCUUGUCGGGUAAGUUCCGACCUGCACGAAUGGCGUAAUGAUGGCCAGGCUGUCUCCACCCGAGACUCAGUGAAAUUGAACUCGCUGUGAAGAUGCAGUGUACCCGCGGCAAGACGGAAAGACCCCGUGAACCUUUACUAUAGCUUGACACUGAACAUUGAGCCUUGAUGUGUAGGAUAGGUGGGAGGCUUUGAAGUGUGGACGCCAGUCUGCAUGGAGCCGACCUUGAAAUACCACCCUUUAAUGUUUGAUGUUCUAACGUUGGCCCCUGAUCGGGGUUGCGGACAGUGUCUGGUGGGUAGUUUGACUGGGGCGGUCUCCUCCUAAAGAGUAACGGAGGAGCACGAAGGUUGGCUAAUCCUGGUCGGACAUCAGGAGGUUAGUGCAAUGGCAUAAGCCAGCUUGACUGCGAGCGUGACGGCGCGAGCAGGUGCGAAAGCAGGUCAUAGUGAUCCGGUGGUUCUGAAUGGAAGGGCCAUCGCUCAACGGAUAAAAGGUACUCCGGGGAUAACAGGCUGAUACCGCCCAAGAGUUCAUAUCGACGGCGGUGUUUGGCACCUCGAUGUCGGCUCAUCACAUCCUGGGGCUGAAGUAGGUCCCAAGGGUAUGGCUGUUCGCCAUUUAAAGUGGUACGCGAGCUGGGUUUAGAACGUCGUGAGACAGUUCGGUCCCUAUCUGCCGUGGGCGCUGGAGAACUGAGGGGGGCUGCUCCUAGUACGAGAGGACCGGAGUGGACGCAUCACUGGUGUUCGGGUUGUCAUGCCAAUGGCACUGCCCGGUAGCUAAAUGCGGAAGAGAUAAGUGCUGAAAGCAUCUAAGCACGAAACUUGCCCCGAGAUGAGUUCUCCCUGACUCCUUGAGAGUCCUGAAGGAACGUUGAAGACGACGACGUUGAUAGGCCGGGUGUGUAAGCGCAGCGAUGCGUUGAGCUAACCGGUACUAAUGAACCGUGAGGCUUAACCUU
rnacentral:rRNA from 1 species